CCCAGCGCCACGGCCGGCCGCGGCCUUUCAUUCGGACGGACGGCCCUCCUCACCGUUGUCUUGCUCUCGUCUUAUCACUCGUCGCCCCCAAGGUCAAGGCCCCCGGCGGCGGUGUCGUGCCCGUCACACGUCACCCGCGCGGCCCAACGGCUCCGGCACCGGCAGGCUGUGCUGUGCAGUCCGCGGGGCAGCCGGGGCAGGCCGGGAUGCAGGGGCUUUUUAAGGCUUUCGAGCGGUCGUUAAAAAGUUACUCCCAAGAAGCACGGGUUGUGGCGUUGCCACGCGCUCGCCGAUCUCAACACAAAAGCCGUCAUGCGAUGGGGGAGUCCGCCGACGACGCGGCGGCGGGUUCGUCGAUUUCCUUGACGGGGUCCUCGCGGUGGCGGGGGCCGUGGGCCGGCCGCCCCGAUGCAGUGCCCGCAGCAGUCCAAACAUGAUGAAUGUGGAGGUCCGCUCCAGUCCGCGCCGCUGCUCUUGAUUGGGUUACCCGUUGGGCAACACGUUCGCGCCACGCCACGCCACGCCACGCCACGCCACGCCACGCCACGCCACGCCGCGCCACGCCACGCCACGCCACGCCACGCCACGCCACGCCACGCCACGCCACGCCACGCCACGCCUCGCCAAGCUACGGUAAUGCGAGGGCACUUCUUGCCACUUUCCUCCAAAGUGGGAGACCGGACCGCCAGCCACCGUCUGGAAUAAUAAUGCAAAUUGCAAGUCAAAAGCAACGACGCACUUUUUAGGCAGCUCCCCCCCUCUGCUCUCCCCCCGCGCUCCGUCGUCGUCCUCUUGGUCGUCUCUGGAAGCCCUUGGAGGCGCCCAAAGUCUACCCAACGACGGCGCAGUCUUCUGGAGCAGUGAGAGGGGGGAGGGGGGAGGGGGGCAGUCAGUAAGUGAUGGACGAGCCUGCACCCUCCCUCCCCUCCCUCGCCUUGGCGGCAUCUGACUGAAUGAGUGAAAAUGAAUGUCUUUGUGAAUGCUGGCCGAUGCCGUCACUCAGGCACGCUACUCGCGCUCGCUCGCACUCGGCUCCGUGUCGACCCUCGACGCGCCGUCGUCGCCGUCGACACCGUCGGUCUGAUGUCGUUAUCAUCAUACGUUGGGAGGGGAGGGGGCGUUUCGCCGAUUGUCGAUGAUCGGCCGCUCGAGGAAGUGACGCGGAUGAGCAGAGUACCGUUGAGUCCUUGCGCCGCCUGCCGCCUCAAGUGAGGCGUCGUUGUGAUUCUCGUUCCAUUUCGGCAGUUUAGCGGCAGCGGCAGCUGACCUGGGGCGCAUGCUUAAGAAGGUGCGGAGGUGACGAACCGAGCGCAAGUCCGAGAGCGAGCGGGAGAGACAGGGAGACCUACCCCCUCCCCUCGCAUGUCUCGUCACGUCACACAAUUGGACAGGGAUGAAAACUACUGACGAAGAGAGAAGAAGAACGAACGAAACUUGCGCCACGACGACAACAACGAGUAACCGCUCGAUGGUUUAAUGACGAUUUUUUCGGCGGCGCAUCGUGACUGCGGGUGACGACGCUCGGCUCUCUGGGAUGCGGCGGCGGCGAGAGGCAAUCUGGAGCACGGCGGCGAGGUGUCGGCGUGUGGUGCGUGCGCCUGACGUCACCCAUUGUUCGCCCAUUAAGCAACGCUCUAAUACUCUUCUUUCUUCAUUGACUUCUUCGCCUGCCCUGCGCGCUGGUGGCGGCGGCGGCGGCGGCGGCGGCCUGCAGGGUGCGCGCUUGAGGGGCAACCACCCCGCGACCUGAGGAGAGAGAGGGGAGGGGGGGGGGAGGGGCGUUUGGAGGGCCUGCCGCGCUGAGCCGCCACGGUCAAGGACGAGAGAGGUGUUCGGAAGCGACGCGCAGAGCGGCGCGGCGGCGCGGCGGCGCAGCGGGCAGGCCACAAAGUACCUCCUCACCUACACUCCAGCGCAGCGGAGCGGGCGCGCUCGACGGCUGCUGCUGCUGCUGCUGCUGCUGCUGCUGCGGCUCAAUGCUCAUCCCCGCGCGAGGACCUCACAGCUGGACAAAGGGGAGCGUGCUGCAGUGGGUGGCCAAGGUCGCGGCCUAGGCAUGAGGACCUCCCGGCGCACCGCGCGAGCACUCUCACCCACACACACGCACACACGCACACACGCACACACACACACACUCUCUCACACACACGCACACGCACACUCACACACACUCGCGCGGAUCUUUGCGGCUUCCUGGUGCGAUCAUCCCGCGCGCGCGCCCGCUCCAGCUCGUCGCCCUCCCGCCGCCGGUCACCACCACCACCACCCGGUAACCGCACAUCAACCGGCCCGCUCCAUCAACGAGUAACUGCCCCGUGUGGCAGUUUAGCUGGCGGGGCCGCACAGUAUGUGCUCCAGGCGCGACCCGGGCGGCUGCGGAUGUGGCGGAAAGGUUCAGCCCGCACGCACACCCUACAUGCA